rnacentral:rRNA from 1 species
UACGUAGGUGGCGAGCGUUGUCCGGAUUUACUGGGCGUAAAGGGCGUGCAGGCGGUCUGUUAAGUCUAGGGUGAAAGCUCCCGGCUCAACUGGGAGAGGUCCUUGGAUACUGGCGGACUUGAGGGAGGCAGAGGAAAGUGGAAUUCCCGGUGUAGUGGUGAUAUGCGUAGAUAUCGGGAGGAACACCAGUGGCGAAGGCGGCUUUCUGGGCCUUACCUGACGCUGAGACGCGAAAGCGUGGGGAGCGAACCGG